UCCUCUCUCUCACCAUCUUUCUUCCUGUAUAAAUAGCCCUUGCUCUCCCCCUCUUCCUCCUCCACCCACUUGACACUACAAGAAGGCAGUGUUGCUUCUUCUUCCUCUAGCACUGAAUGGCCUCCUCUGUGAUCUUCCACAGCUUUCUUGAACUGCAUCUGCAAAGGGAUGCGCCUUCUACUUGCAUGAACACGUGCAGUUCAAUAAAGCUGUGGGAAACUGCAGAGAGAGGCCAAUUGAGCAGCGUCGCCGGUGGAGCACCCUUUCCGCUUGUAGAUGCACGGUGCCCGGAGAAGAAUAUAGAUCCGCCUCUUGCAUGGGAAGGUAUACGCACCGAUAGAGAGGGGAACCGGCAGUGUUUCAGUUUAACAUUUUCUUUUGAUAAUGGGGGUUUUCCCUCUAAGUUUUACUCUGUGUAAUUCAUGCUCAAAUAGUAUCGAGAAGUACGUUCAUGUUCUUCUGUUUAUUUUCCUACAAGAAGUUAUUUCUCUCUCUCUCUUGUUGGGAGCAGUGACACAUUUUUUUUUGGAAACCUUCAACCAGAGUGAGAUUUGCUUGCCAUUAUUUAAGACAGGAAGAAGGUUUUAACUAAAGCAAAAAAGCAGGCGCUAAAUUCAGUUCAAUUUUAAGAUCCUCCCAUAGGGAGUUUCAGUGAAAAGGCACACCUGCUUAAUCAACUCCGGUGUGAAAAUCACGCCACCACGCACUAGCUGAACCAUGUAUAGGUUGAGAUCGAGCAAUUAGACCACGAGGACCAACAAAACAUUCACAAAUUUCGAAGUUCAAAGAAAUCCUUAAGGUAGCCCCCCUCACCGGUCACUGUCUAUGUGAAGGCAGUGUCCAUUCUCCUUUUUCCUCAAUCAAAUGUUUACUUGAUAAUGCAUUGACAGGCUAGAUUACUCAAGAUUUCACAUAUAUUGAAUUCAAUUUUUCAAGAUUUGUGUUUUUUUAAAUACACGGUGCUUGCAGGCUUGCAGCAUGUUAGUAUAUUACUAUUGCUGCUGUUUCCCCUUCUUUCUGUAUUUGUUUACUGCUAAUCUACAGCCUAUUUCUUGACCUUAUUUUGAGACUCAUCAUGUAUAUUACCACUAAAGGGUAGUUCAUGCUCCUUCUUUUCAUAAUAUAUCUACACUAUUGUCACUCGAUAACGCAUGGACUGACUAGAUUACUCAAGAUUCUACACAUAUAUUUUCUUGACUUUCUUUUUGAAAAACACAAAGUACCUGCAGUGCCAUAUAUUUUACUAACUGCUCGAUCAUGUUUUUCAUUCUUGCAGUGUCUGUUUAAAACUCAGCCAAUUACUAUUACAGUUUUCCCUGUAGGGAGGGGGUGAGAGAGGGAGAGAGCCCAGCUUUCUGAACGAAAAGAAAACUGAGAGCCCGUAGUUACCAAAAAUUUUCAUCCAAAAAUUUUUAUCUCUCCUUUUACCACGAACACAUGCAUGUAGUAUUAAAUAUAGUUAAAAAAAUAAAACUAAUUGUACAGUUUGAAUGUACAUGACGGGACUAAUCUUUUGAGCCUAAUUAGUGCAUAAUUAGCCAUAAGUGCUACAGUAACCCACAUGUACUAAUGAUGCGGUCAAAGGCCUCAAAAAAUUCGUCUCACGAUUUCCAGGUGGGUUCUGAAAUUAGUUUUUUUUAAUUAGUGUCCAAAAAACCCUCUCAACAUCUGAUCAAAUAGUCGAUUUAACAUCCAAAAAUUUUAUUUUGGGAACUAAACAGCCUGUGAUUGAAAAGGUGGCCCAGCGAAAGCUGCUGCUGGAGGGGGUGCAAUGAGUAGAUCUUUUGCUGGCGAAAUGAAAAGGCGCUGCCAAAGAGCCCUGAAGCCUCAAAUCACAGUACCAGUACUUUGCAGCACCGGCUGGCUCUCCCUCCUUUCUUCGCUGUAAACACUGCCCUACCACCGCGUCCAGUCCCCGGCCAAGCAAAGCAAUUAAGCAAAGGCCGGCCACCCCACCUGCCCAGGCGAUGGGAUUUCCAUUCGCGAAGCCGCGUGCCCGGAGUGGAGGCGGAGCGCCGCUCCCCACUUCAGCACACCCGCCGCCAAUCAACCCCAG